rnacentral:rRNA from 1 species
AUGAACGCUGGCGGCGUGCUUAACACAUGCAAGUCGUACGGUAAGGCCCUUUCGGGGGUACACGAGUGGCGAACGGGUGAGUAACACGUGAGUAACCUGCCCACAACUUUGGGAUAACGCUAGGAAACUGGUGCUAAUACUGGAUAUGUGCUCCUGCUGCAUGGUGGGGGUUGGAAAGCUCCGGCGGUUGUGGAUGGACUCGCGGCCUAUCAGCUUGUUGGUGGGGUAGUGGCCUACCAAGGCGGCGACGGGUAGCCGGCCUGAGAGGGUGACCGGCCACAUUGGGACUGAGAUACGGCCCAGACUCCUACGGGAGGCAGCAGUGGGGAAUAUUGCACAAUGGGCGCAAGCCUGAUGCAGCAACGCCGCGUGCGGGAUGACGGCCUUCGGGUUGUAAACCGCUUUCAGCAGGGACGUAGCUUUUUGUGACGGUACCUGCAGAAGAAGCACCGGCUAACUACGUG